UUAGCUUUCUCGGCCUUUUGUCUAAGAUCAAAUGUAAUAUAUGUUCUUAUCAAUAUAAUAGAAGAUAUUCUAGGGGAAGAAAUUGAAAUGGUGACUCUCG
rfam:Beta vulgaris subsp. vulgaris Bvchr8.sca018.con0180.1, whole genome shotgun sequence.